GGGAAAUAUUCAGUCAGGAAACUUUGCACAUGUAUAGUUGAGACUCCAAAGGCAAAAAUAUCACUCUUGGCUUAUUUUGCAAAGAUCAUUGAGAUCUGCAGCCAAGUUGGAAGAAAAUCAGUGACACUACAGCUGCUUUUGGGAUGAUGAAUGCUGAUGUCACAAACGGACUAGUACAACAUCGCUGAAUGAAUCAGGCAGAAAGAGAAAUCCAGCUUUGAAAACAGCGACUUUCUGUUUCCACACAAAUACUUUGAAGGAAACAGACAAUGAAAAGUACAGAAAGGUGAAUGGAUUGACACUUGAAGUACAUAAUGGAGAGAGAUACAGUCCUGAGUCAUAUGCGAAGUGUGGUUUGGCCUUGUUGGUGGGAAGGGGACACCGAAGAAACAGCAGGAGUGCUGCUGCGGGUGAGCCAGCUGGUGAGUCUUCUCUCUGAUACACCACAGAAUUGACCUGCUGCUAAGGGACACCGUACUAGUGGAGGUACCUUCUGUUGGAUGAGAAGUAAAACAGAAGUCAGAACCCUCUCUUAUGAGCCCCAAUCCAGACCCAGGCAGGCAGACCUUUGCACCCACAGAGAGCCUCACUAGAGUCAACAGAGCAAGUGUCUGUUCUCACAGAUCCAGUUGCAGGAUCUAGGACAUGGUCAUUAUGAACCAGAUUUAGUGGGGGAAAUAAAGUAUCAGAGGUCAGCACACAAGCUGUGCGUGUGUGUAAAUAAUAUAUAAAAAUUGGAAUUUGGACAUACAAACAGGCAUUUAGAUAUGUAAAUGACUCCUGUUAUAAACAUGUGGGCUUUGCUACCAUGGCACUUUUGGCAGGGGUAAGGGUGUUAACCUGCUUGACCUAGCAAAAUUACAACCUUUUACUCACCCAAGUAGUCCCUGCAAUUAUAAUUUGAGAUGUUUUUCUUGACUUCCUCUCUUAACACAGCAAUAAGCCACUCCAGGGUGUGCAUUAUUAGGCGAUUGAUGCAUGCCUCAGGUGCAUUAUAAGACACAAAUAAGAAGGUUGAUAAGUGAAUCAGUAGCCUACUAAUGCACACCCUGAAGAGGCGCAUUGCUAUUAGAGUAUGACUCAUUCAUUGUGCAUGUUCUGGUUAUUUUUUAAAAGUUUUGUGGGGGUUUAUGGAACUAUAAAAACUUGUUCAGAGGAAAAAUAUUUAAGCAUAUUUAAAGGCUAGAAAAAAUUAACAAACAAUACAUGAAAUAGCUUGGUUGAUUUAUGGUUUUUUGUUUGUUUUAUGUGUGUUUUUGUGAGGAAAACAACUUAUUCGGAAUGCGGCAAGGACCAUGGUCUGUCUUGUCUCUUGUGUGAGAAAGUUCUGUAACCUCAGUCUGGCUUCUGUGGAAAUUCCAUCUCCUGCACUCAUGAGCCUCUCCAUUUGGCAGACAGAGGAUGGAUCCAAUGGAACACUUCUAUCACAGAAGUCAUGGUCACAGUGCGGGAGGGAAUAUUUUAGGUUACUAGGGCCAAUCCCACGGACAGAGAGACCUUCAACCAGAGUCUACAUUCAGGCUGGAAAAAAACAAAUUUUUAACAGUGAAUGUAACCACUGGAACAAUUUAACAAGGGUGCUGGUGGAUUCUCCAUCACUGACCAUUUUUAAAUCAAGAUUGAAUUUUUUUUCUAAAAGAUCUGCUCUAGGAGUUACUUGGGGAAGUUGUACAGCCUUGUUAUACAGGAGAUUAUACUAGUCCCUUCUUGCCCUUGGAAUUUAGGAAUCUGGGGUUCCAGGACAGAAAGCAGAGCCAGCAGAAUUAUGUUUUCCUGGUGAACAGCUAUGGUAAGCAGAUGGACUUCUGUGUAUCCACUGGAACUUUUUCAGGGUACGUGGCGAGAUUCCUAGAUAUGAGUUGCAAUAAUCAAGUUUGGAGGUCACAAAUGGAUGGAUCACUGUAGCUAGAUCUGUGCCUCAUAGGAAAGGGUGCAACCUUUCAGCCAGAUGGAGAUUGAAGUAGGUGUGUUUUGCUGGCAGGACUAUUUCAGCAUCCAAUAGUGCUGAGGAGCUCAAAAGGACCCUGGGGCUGUAGGAAUAUUCAUAGAAACAAUGAAUUUCAAACUUGUAAAUGUGAGUAUUCACACUGAAAACCUCGUUACGGCCCCAAUUCUGGGACAGGAUUAAGACCAUUCCUAUUAAGGAAAGCACUUGAGUAUAUCCUUAACUCUAAGCAUAAUUAAUUUCCAUGGGCCUUAAAUGUGUGCUUAAGGGUAAGCACAUGCUUAAAUGCUGUUCUGAAAGCGGAUGCUUUCCUGAAUUAGCGGCUUACAGGGUAUGUCUACACUGCACAGUAAAUCCGGGAUAUGACUCAGGUUUUAGCUCAAGCUGCGCUUCCAGCCACACACAAAUCAAUCUGACUUGGGUCAGCAAGCACCCAGGUCUUAGGACCCAGCUGAGCCCCACUGUGAGUUGGGUCCAAGCCCUGCCAUUCUGCAGUAUGGAUGCAGCUCAAGCCACAGACCCAAGUGGAAGGUCUGUGUAGUGCAGUAUGGAUGCAUUAGCACAAGUUGUAAACCCAGAUUUACAAUGCCGCAUGGAUGCUCAAGCGUGGGCUUGGAAACACUGAGUCCCACAGACCUGGGUUUACAAUGCAGUGUAGACAUACCCUAAGAGUGGUACUCUUCCAGUCAGUGAACAGAACAAAACCAUGUCCCCUGUUUGUCCACUCAAAGCUAACCAACGCAAAUUUCAAAUAUUCACCAAUUGCUCAUGAACGGUUUACAAACGAAGACUUAUUUUCUGAAAUUACUUGCCAAAUAAUUUAAAAUAAUUUUGAGAAAAUAGCGCUUUGUGGAAAUUCUUGAACAGGCAAAAAGGCAGAAUUCUUUGAACAAAUAAUUUGCUACAAAUUUCAGAGUAGCAGCCGUGUUAGUCUGUAUCCGCAAAAAGAAAAGGAGGACUUGUGGUAUC